rnacentral:lncRNA from 1 species
GCCCUUCAGUCUCUGUGCCUUGUGCUGUCCAAGGGAAGAGUCCGUGUGAAUAGGAAAGGUUUCUUUGCUCUCCACCCAGUGGAACAGUUCUGAUUACAGACUGUCUUCAAGUGUGAAUGCUCAGAGGCAGCAAAAAUCAAUUUGAUUUAUGAGAUCCAACCCUAACUUGGUAGAGCUGCUGUCAGUGAAUCACUGUCAUCUCCUGUGUAACUUACGAAGGUGACGUGAAUGUCAUUCCAGUUUCAGACACUGGCAUGAAGUUGUUGCAACUUGGAUUCACCAGAACACCUCUGGAAUAGCAGAUUGAAGGCUGGAUUAACUAUUUCUUUGUUUUGAUUUGGCUUUUAAUCCAAUAUCAAAACAAACCCUAGAUUAUUCAAAAUUAAUGAGAGCAAUAACAGGUAAUGAGAUUUUCAGUAAUAAAGUUCCCAACAACAAAAAAGCCCAGAACUAAUGGCUUCACUGCUGAGUUUUACCAGAAUUAAAGGGAAAGGAACUCUUACAAACUCACUCUGUGAGGCCAGCAGUACCAUAAAAAAAACUGACAAGAAUACAUUAAAAAAACUGUAGACCAAUGUGUCUGACGAAC